rnacentral:rRNA from 1 species
GGCGGCAGGCUUAACACAUGCAAGUCGAGCGGUAGCAGAUCUAGCUUGCUAGAUGCUGACGAGCGGCGGACGGGUGAGUAACGCGUAGGAACCUGCCCAGUAGUGGGGGAUAGCCCGGGGAAACUCGAAUUAAUACCGCAUACGCUCUACGGAGGAAAGAGGGGCUUCGGCUCUCGCUAUUGGAUGGGCCUGCGUGAGAUUAGCUAGUUGGUGAGGUAAUGGCUCACCAAGGCGACGAUCUCUAGCUGGUCUGAGAGGAUGAUCAGCCACACUGGGACUGAGACACGGCCCAGACUCCUACGGGAGGCAGCAGUGGGGAAUAUUGCACAAUGGGCGCAAGCCUGAUGCAGCCAUGCCGCGUGUGUGAAGAAGGCUUUCGGGUUGUAAAGCACUUUCAGUGGGGAGGAAGGCCUCGUAGUUAAUAGCUGCGAGGAUUGACGUUACCCACAGAAGAAGCACCGGCUAACUCCGUG